UACAGGGUCUGAUGCACUUGUUCAGUCCUUU
rnacentral:piRNA from 1 species